UAAUAGAAACAUUGUGAUCAUUCUCAACAGAAUAUAGUAAGGAAAACGAACUACUAUCAUUAUUAUUAUAAUCAAUAUCCAAAAUCAUAAAACCAUCUAUAACCUCUUCCAUAAUAAACAGUUUCAAGAUGAAUCUCAACUAUAUCAUUCUCAAAACUAAAAAAACAGCCUAACUGAAGUAUAACAAGAAUAGAAAACAAGUU
rnacentral:lncRNA from 1 species